GUAAGGUAACGGCUUACCAAGGCAACGAUGCAUAGCCGACCUGAGAGGGUGAUCGGCCACACUGGAACUGAGACACGGUCCAGACUCCUACGGGAGGCAGCAGUAGGGAAUCUUCCGCAAUGGGCGAAAGCCUGACGGAGCAACGCCGCGUGAGUGAUGAAGGUCUUCGGAUCGUAAAACUCUGUUAUUAGGGAAGAACAUAUGUGUAAGUAACUGUGCACAUCUUGACGGUACCUAAUCAGAAAGCCACGGCUAACUACGUGCCAGCAGCCGCGGUAAUACGUAGGUGGCAAGCGUUAUCCGGAAUUAUUGGGCGUAAAGCGCGCGUAGGCGGUUUUUUAAGUCUGAUGUGAAAGCCCACGGCUCAACCGUGGAGGGUCAUUGGAAACUGGAAAACUUGAGUGCAGAAGAGGAAAGUGGAAUUCCAUGUGUAGCGGUGAAAUGCGCAGAGAUAUGGAGGAACACCAGUGGCGAAGGCGACUUUCUGGUCUGUAACUGACGCUGAUGUGCGAAAGCGUGGGGAUCAAACAGGAUUAGAUACCCUGGUAGUCCACGCCGUAAACGAUGAGUGCUAAGUGUUAGGGGGUUUCCGCCCCUUAGUGCUGCAGCUAACGC
rnacentral:rRNA from 1 species